AGACGGCGGUCUAACUAAGUACGUACCUAAGGAGCCGCCUAGGGUAAAACUGGUGACUGGGGCU
rnacentral:rRNA from 1 species